rnacentral:rRNA from 1 species
CGUAGGUAACCUGCCUCUUAGCGGGGGAUAACUAUUGGAAACGAUAGCUAAUACCGCAUAAAAGUCGAUAUCGCAUGAUAUUGAUUUGAAAGGUGCAAUUGCAUCACUAAGAGGUGGACCUGCGUUGUAUUAGCUAGUUGGUGAGGUAACGGCUCACCAAGGCGACGAUACAUAGCCGACCUGAGAGGGUGAUCGGCCACACUGGGACUGAGACACGGCCCAG